GACAGAGGGUGCAAGCGUUGUUCGGAAUUACUGGGCGUAAAGCGCGUGUAGGCGGUGUGACAUGUCAGGUGUGAAAUCCCCUGGCUUAACCAGGGAAGUGCACUUGAAACUGUCAUGCUAGAGUGCAAGAGAGGAGGGUGGAAUUCCCAGUGUAGAGGUGAAAUUCGUAGAUAUUGGGAAGAACACCGGCGGCGAAGGCGGCCCUCUGGCUUGUUACUGACGCUGAGACGCGAAAGCGUGGGGAG
rnacentral:rRNA from 1 species